rnacentral:rRNA from 1 species
UAGGGGCCGAGCGUUGUCCGGAAUUACUGGGCGUAAAGCGCGCGCAGGCGGCUGAUCAAGCCUGACGUGAAAGCCCCCGGCUCAACCGGGGAGGGUCGUCGGGGACUGGUUGGCUUGAGGGCGGUAGGGGCCGGUGGAAUUCCCGGUGUAGUGGUGAAAUGCGUAGAGAUCAGGAGGAACACCAGUGGCGAAGGCGGCCGGCUGGGCCGACCCUGACGCUGAGGCGCGAAGGCGUGGGGAGCGAACGGG